AGACGACAAAGGCUCCAAACCUCUUUGAACAUCAUCAUAUGUUAGUGCAAGAUGCAACUAGGCAUUAAAACAAUAUUGUCAUAUUUUUUAAAAUUUUCUCAAAAUCUAUGGGCUUAACCCCUACAAAAAUAUUGAGUUUUUGGUAAACACUUUAUAUACCGAAGCCUAUUAUCUUUAGUAUUGUUUUAAAAUUUUCACCAUAUUUUACAUUUGUAUUAAUGUAUGCUAAACUAUUUUUCAUGGUAAAUGAGCAUCUUUCAAUUAAUUUUAUCAAUUAAUUUAGUAAAACUUCAUAUUACCCCUAAAUCGAUGGAAUAACCACUAUAAAAUUAUUGUUUUCUUGAUAAACGGAGAGCACAAAGGCUCCAAACCUCUUUGAACAUUAUCAUAUGUUAGUGCAGAAUGCAACUAGGCAUUAAAAUAAUAUUGUCAUAUUUUUUGAAAAUUUCUCAAAAUCUAUGGGCUAAUCCUUACAAAAAUAUUGAGUUUUUGGUAAAUACUUUAUAUACCGAAGCCUAUAAUCUUUAGUGUUGUUUUAAAAUUUCUACCAUAUUCUAAAUUUGUAUUAAUGUACGCUAAACUAUUUUUCAUGGUAAAUGAGCAUCAUUUAAUUGUUUUUAUCAAUUAAUUUAGUAAACUUCAUAAU
rnacentral:lncRNA from 1 species